rnacentral:rRNA from 1 species
GAUGAACGCUGGCGGCGUGCUUAACACAUGCAAGUCGAACGAGAAGUGGAGACGGACACCUUCGGGCGGAAGACUUUAUUUCGAGUGGCGGACGGGUGAGUAACGCGUGGGUAACCUGCCUCAUACAGGGGGAUAACAGUUGGAAACGACUGUUAAUACCGCAUAAGACCACAGCACCGCAUGGUGCGGGGGUAAAAACUCCGGUGGUAUGAGAUGGACCCGCGUUCGAUUAGCCAGUUGGCGGGGUAACGGCCCACCAAAGCGACGAUCGAUAGCCGAUCUGAGAGGAGGACCGGCAAAAUUGGGACUGAGACACGGCCCAAACUCCUACGGGAGGCAGCAGUGGGGAAUAUUGCACAAUGGGGGAACCCUGAUGCAGCGACGCCGCGUGAGUGAAGAAGUAUUUCGGUAUGUAAAGCUCUAUCAGCAGGGAAGAAAAUGACGGUACCUGAGUAAGAAGCCCCGGCUAACUACGUG